GAUGAACGCUAGCGACAGGCCUAACACAUGCAAGUCGAGGGGCAGCACAUGCGUAGCAAUACAAUGGUGGCGACCGGCGCACGGGUGAGUAACACGUAUGCAACCUACCUGUAAGAGGGGAAUAACCCGGAGAAAUUCGGACUAACACCGCAUAAUACCGAUUAACUGCAUGGUUGAUCGGUUAAAUAUUUAUAGCUUACAGAUGGGCAUGCGUAACAUUAGAUAGUUGGUGAGGUAACGGCUCACCAAGUCAACGAUGUUUAGGGGGUCUGAGGGGAAGGGCCCCCAAACUGGUACUGAGCAACGGACCAGACUCCUACGGGAGGCAGCAGUGAGGAAUAUUGGUCAAUGGGCGAGAGCCUGAACCAGCCAAGUCGCGUGAAGGAAGAAGGUUCUAUGGAUUGCAAACUUCUUUUGUAAGGGAAUAAAAAAGCUUACGUGUAGGCUAUUGUAUGUACUUUACGAAUAAGGAUCGGCUAACUCCGUGCCAGCAGCCGCCGUAA
rnacentral:rRNA from 1 species